rnacentral:rRNA from 1 species
CCCUUAGAUGUUCGGGGCCGCACGCGCGCUACACUGAAGGAAUCAGCACGUCUUUCUCCUUGUCCGAAAGGACUGGGUAACCCGCUGAACCUCCUUCGUGCUAGGGAUUGGGGCUUGUAAUUCUUCCCCAUGAACGAGGAAUUCCCAGUAAGCGCGAGUCAUAAGCUCGCGUUGAUUACGUCCCUGCCCUUUGUACACACCGCCCGUCGUUACUACCGAUUGGAUGGUUUAGUGAGAUCCUCGGAUUGGUCCCGGAGCGGCCUCUGGUCGUGCCGGAGUGCCGAAAAGAAUGUCGAACUUGAUCAUCUAGAGGAAGUAAAAGUCGUAACA